rnacentral:rRNA from 1 species
ACGGAGAGUUUGAUCCUGGCUCAGGAUGAACGCUGGCGGCGUGCCUAACACAUGCAAGUCGAACGAACCUGAUUCUGAUUCUUAGGAUGAUGGAGAUGGUUAGUGGCGGAUGGGUGAGUAACACGUAGAUGACCUGCCCCGAUGAGGGGGAUAACUGUUGGAAACGGCAGCUAAUACCCCAUGUGAUCGGCGAUUCGUUUCGCCGAUUAAAGCUCCGGCGCGUCGGGAGGGGUCUGCGUCCCAUCAGGUAGUUGGUAGGGUAAUGGCCUACCAAGCCGAUGACGGGUAGCUGGUCUGAGAGGAUGGUCAGCCACACUGGAACUGAAACACGGUCCAGACUCCUACGGGAGGCAGCAGUGAUGAAUAUUGCGCAAUGGACGAAAGUCUGACGCAGCAACGCCGCGUGGGCGAUGAAGGCCUUCGGGUCGUAAAGCCCUUUUCUGAGGGAAGAGAAAGGACGGUACCUCAGGAAUAAGUCUCGGCUAACUACGUGCCAGCAGCCGCGGUAAAACGUAGGAGGCGAGCGUUAUCCGGAUUUAUUGGGCGUAAAGCGCAUGCAGGUGGUUUCGUAAGUCGGAUGUGAAAGCCUCUGGCUCAACUGGAGGAGGUCGUUCGAUACUGCGAAACUAGAGGUUGGGAGAGGAAAGCGGAAUUCCCGGUGUGGUGGUGGAAUGCGUAGAUAUCGGGAGGAACACCAGUGGCGAAGGCGGCUUUCUGGCCCACACCUGACACUAAGAUGCGAAAGCGUGGGGAGCGAACGGGAUUAGAUACCCCGGUAGUCCACGCUGUAAACGAUGGGUACUGGGUAUUGGUGGUAUUGACCCCAUCAGUGCCGAAGCCAACGCGUUAAGUACCCCGCCUGGGGACUACGACCGCAAGGUUAAAACUCAAAGGAAUUGACGGGGCCCCGCACAAGCAGCGGAGCGUGUGGUUUAAUUCGAUGCAACACGAAGAACCUUACCUGGGCUUGACAUGUUGGUAGUAGUGAAGCGAAAGUGGAACGAUCCUUCGGGAAGCCAUCACAGGUGCUGCAGGGCUGUCGUCAGCUCGUGCCGUGAGGUGUUGGGUUAAGUCCCGCAACGAGCGCAACCCUCGCUGUUAGUUACAAGUGUCUAACAGGACUGCCGGUAUCAAACCGGAGGAAGGUGGGGAUGACGUCAAGUCAGCAUGGCCCUUAUGUCCAGGGCUACACACACGCUACAAUGGUCGGUACAGAGGGCCGCCAAACCGCGAGGUGGAGCUAAUCUCACAAAACCGGCCUCAGUUCGGAUUGCAGGCUGCAACCCGCCUGCAUGAAGCUGGAGUUGCUAGUAAACGCCGGUCAGUUAUACGGCGUUGAAUAUGUUCCCGGGGCUUGUACACACCGCCCGUCACGUCAUGGGAGUCGGUAACACCUGAAGCCGGUGGGCUAACCGCAAGGAGGCAACUGUCGAAGGUGGGACUGGUGACUGGGACGAAGUCGUAACAAGGUAGCUGUAGCGGAAGCUGCGGCUGGAUCACCUCCUU